UCAAUUCUCAAGACUUCUCGCGGGAAUUCCCCCUCCGCUUGCUGAACCCCAAAAAUUCUCGGCGAAUCUUUGCCCUCGAAUCUCUAGGGUUUCCUUAAUCCCAUAAAGUUCCAAUUUUUAAGAUUUUUAGUUAAACCCACAUGCAAUCAGGCGGCAGGUCCCAUGGACGGGACCCGAGGACGCCUUCUUCUUCAUCGCCGUCGCCGUCGCCGUCUUCGUCUGCUGUCUCGAAUCAAUUAGGGUUUGAAUCGAGGCAGCAGCAGCAGCUCAAUUUGAUGAAUCAGCAACAGUCACAGCAACAGCAACUUCUAAGAAAACCUGAAGGAGAGAACCCUGUACCUUACAAAGUAGGUGGUGGUGCACAUG